rnacentral:rRNA from 1 species
UACGGAGGGUGCGAGCGUUGUCCGGAAUCAUUGGGCGUAAAGGGCGCGUAGGUGGCCCAGUAAGCGUGCGGUGAAAGCUCGGGGCUCAACCCCGGGUCUGCCGUGCGAACUACUGGGCUGGAGCACUGUAGAGGCAGGCGGAAUUCCGGGUGUAGCGGUGGAAUGCGUAGAGAUCCGGAAGAACACCGGUGGCGAAGGCGGCCUGCUGGGCAGUUGCUGACACUGAGGCGCGACAGCGUGGGGAGCAAACAGG